GACGAACGCUGGCGGCGUGCCUAAUACAUGCAAGUAGAACGCAGUUGCGAACGGGUGAGUAACGCGUAGGUAACCUGCCUCAUAGCGGGGGAUAACUAUUGGAAACGAUAGCUAAUACCGCAUACUGUGAGAUGGACCUGCGUUGUAGUAGCUAGUUGGUGAGGUAACGGCUCACCAAGGCGACGAUACAUAGCCGACCUGAGAGGGUGAUCGGCCACACUGGGACUGGGACACGGACCAGACUCCUACGGGAGGCAGCGGUGGGAAAUCUUCGGCAAUGGACGGCAGUCUAACCGAGCAACGCCGCGGUAAUAC
rnacentral:rRNA from 1 species